GUCAGGGGACGACCGCUGAGUGAGUGACGGCAAACAAGUGACUCGAAGGCCUCUGCCUCGUCGACACACCUAAGACUUCCAACACACCGUGGACUCGGGCAGCGCGUUGGUGUCCCUCCAGGCCCACGCAAAGGAAGCCCCGUGGAGAGAAAGAGGAGAGGGAGAGAAGCGGCCGGAAGCAGUUGCCUCAGCAAGGUCUCCUCCGUCCCCAACUCACAACCUUCCAGGGACCCCCCGACCCACCCAGUUUCCACCCAAACCAGCAUGCCCACCAGACCGCGCCCAGUCAGGCUGCCGCUGCUCAUCCGACUCGAGCAUGGGCCUUUGGACUGUGUGCAUCUGUGACACAAGCAGUUGCUAAGGAAACCGCCGUUCCAGACCCUCCACCGCCCCCCCCCCGGCCCCUCCGUGGGGCAUGAGCAGACAGCCUGAGCUCUCAGAGGGCUGAGUGUCGUGGGGCAGACCAGCGUGGGGGAGGGGCCCUGAGGCCAGGGCGACACCAGAGCGCCCGCCCAGAGGCGGCGCCUGACGGCUGUUGAGGAGGCGAGAGUCCAAGGCCACGUUCGUUCGGAAGCGUGCAACCGCCCACGCUGGACGUCAGCGUGCCCGGACCCCAGCAGCCCAGCGACCGCGGACAUCGUGACCACAUCCUCGUUGCUAUAACGAGCGCUCCUCAACGGCCCUCCCCCCACCCCGAUGAGCUCUAUGUUUAGACCCAGCCAGAAACCCUCGGGGUCACGACCCGUGCCUCCCGUCCCUAGGACCCGCCACGCGGAGUCGGGGAAGCGGUCCCUCGCCCUGUGCGCACACGUGUGCAGAAGCGCAGGCGCGAGCCUCUUCCGGGCUGUGUGCUGGGAAAGUUUCAGGUGUGCGACACAGCGAUGCGCUCUUCGCACACGUUGCAAAAUGAUCACCACGGCCAGCCUAGUUAACACCUGUCACCACGCGGAGUUACAAAAAGAAAUGUUUCCCUUGUGGCGAGAACUCUGAAGCCCGCUGCCUUAGCAACUCCCUGACGGGGCGCACGGUGCCGUGCAGUGCGGUCCCCUGCCGUGCGCCCGUCUCCGGGACCCGUGUGUUCUAUAGCCAAAAGUGUGGGCCUUUCCUU